AUUGGUUAUUUAGAUAUUUUUAGGGUCAUAUACAUCAGAACCGAACUCAUCCAGACUCAAAAUGAUUCUAAUCAAAACCUACAUAUAAAUUUAUAAUAUUCAAGGAGUGAGUAAUUUUAAAACAAAAAAAAACGAUACCCAAAAGGAACAACUCGUACUUAAGUGGAUAUUUAGUGUUCAUGUCUAACUGAUUUUAUAAACUAAUAAAAAGACAUUUUCUAUGUGUUUUGCUAAAUUAAGUGAAAUAGAUAGAGUUUUUUUAUUUAGCAAGACAUUAUAUUGAGUGAAAUCGACGGUUCUUGAAUGGUUCCUACUCUCUCCAAGUCCAUUCGACGUUUUAUUUUUUGCAGAUAUCGCUGACGACGUCUACGAGAUUCUCCAUGAUUUGAAAUUUAUUUCUUCUCUGUGUUGUUGAUAAAGUUUUCUUCUUUUUGGUUUUUAUGAGUCUACAAAAGGAGAUGAUACUUUCUCUCUGUUGUUUCACUUUGUCUCUCUUUUUUUUUUUCCCUUUAUGUUUAGUUGUGUUGAUCCAUGUUUGAAUGGUUUGUACUUUCUUUCUUAUCUGUGUUGUUGAAUUGCUUGUUGAUACAAAAGUUUUGUUCUUUUUGGGUUUCUGUGUCCACAAAGGAGAUGGUACUGUCUCUGCUUGUCUCUAUUUUUGUUCAGUUGUGUUGAUGUGUUAGUGGUUUGUAUCUAUAUGUAGGAAGGGUAUGGGCCGGUCACAAUAUAUUGAGGGUUUGAUAUACCAAGGAUAAGAGAAGGGUUUGCAGAGAUUGGACGUGAUCCACCAGAGCCAAAAGGCACCAUUGACUCGUUGGUGUUUCUUACUCAAAAGAUUGGGAGGAGAGCUGGUGAUAUGAACUUGAUGGUAUUGCUGCACAUUGAAGACUGUCCUGAUAAAGAGCCUCUUCGCCAUGGGUUCUAUGCAGGCUCCACUAUGGCCACAAGGAUAACAAUACCAAAUUUCAUCACCAAGUUUAUCUGUUAUAUUUUGCAAUGAGUUUAUUAUUUGCAAUUUGGUUUUCGGUGUCCCAAGAAUACUAACUAUGAUAAUGAUACCCAUUUACAGAUUUUAUUUAUUUAUCAGAA